rnacentral:lncRNA from 1 species
ACGCUGAGUGUAUUUAUUUAUCUACGCGCCCUGGAGACCGGCCCCUAAAUUUAAAUAUCCAGCACGGGGCCUUGGCCCUCCUGGCCGUGGGUGGUUAUUGGGACGGGUCCUGGAGCCCUUCCAGGGCAGAGGAACCCAGAGCCCGGAGGUGGGAUGCCCCUGAGCCAGCAGCUGCCGAUAGCAACAAAAGGUGAGGAGGAGAUGGGAGCCAGGCACUCAUCCCAAUCCCAGAGACGCCAAGCGGAAGGGAAGAUGCUUCGGGCCCCACCGCAAGGCUGAGGGUUGGCCAAGCUGGGGGUGCACACAUGUGGAAGAACUGGAGGCCCAGUGCCAUGAGCAGAGGCUGUACCCUAGAUGCCCGCCCCAGUGCCAGCCAACCCAAGACAGGAGAAAGAGUUUGGCAGUUUCGCCUCUGAGGAAUACAUGCCUGGCCCUCCUGUGAGGUGAGGCGGUAGGGGGGAAGGCAUCCUGCAGCCACUGGUCACGGGCAUUGUGCGUCUGGGGCACAGUAAGGGGUGGCGGGUCAGGAGGCAGGCUGGCAUCGGGAGGCUCCUCGUCGUCAGACAGGCCCGCAUCCGGUGGGUAGGAGCUGUCCGAAUGGAGGGAGGAUGACAGGUCCUGGCAGAAGCUCAGGUCUUGGCACAGGUGUUUGUAGUCCUGGAUUGACUCGUACAGGCCCCACAGCUGGCACAACAAGGACAUGUCCAACUGCCGCAGCCCCACCUGCAGACAACUGAGGGUGGGCUGGAGUUGGGGUCCAGGCCACCCCAGCCCAGCCCCGCCCCCUGGAAUAGUGGGCCCCAGCCCAUCUUCCCCGCACCUUCCUAAACGAAGUUUUUGUGGACAUCAGGCACCACCUGCAAGCUAUGCAACUUUAGUCAUGACCCUCACCCAAAAAAUGGGGUUAUCCAUUUAGCCGGAUGAAAUGAAGUAACGUCAGCAAAACAUUUGAAAAUAUAUGGUAACUACUGCCAUAAUUGGUAACUAUCACUAAUUAUUGUUACCAUAACCCUUGCAACCCAACUGGUGCCUGCAAGUCCUCUGAGACCCAGGCCGCCUGUCCCAGUCCCCUGCGUUCCUCCGCGUCAGCCCCCCGCCCAGCUGGCCCGGCGCCCACCCACUCACCAUCUCCUUGCGCAGCGCGGCCAGCGCUGAGUCGAGGUUGACAGGACGACGCGGGCCGGCUGCGGGUCCCGCGUUGGCGGCGCCGGCGGCGUGGCGGGGCCCGUCCGGGGCGCGGGCGGCGCGGCUCAGCUCGUCGUGGAUGCGGCUGCGCUGGCUGUAGACGCGCUCCAGCUCCCGCCACGAGCCCCCGCUCGCAUUAAGGAGGCCGCUGAGGCCGCGCGGCAGCGGUGGGAGCCCGGCCAAAGCGCAGCCCGCCCCGCCCGGCGCCUCUGCCGAGGGCAGCCCGUUCAUGGCCGGGGCCGGCGCGGACGGCGAUGCCACCUCCUUCCCUCCAACGCUCCGCCCGGGCCGCCGCCCGCAGGCCCCGCACCCCGCGGCCCCGCCGGAGCCCAGCCGCCGCCCGCAGGCCUCGCUUUGUUCCUUCCCCAGCUCCUCAGACUCCGCCUCUGCCCCACCCCCUCUGGAUGGGCCGGGCCUCUCUUAAAAAGGCAACGGUUGUGGGACCACGUCGCGCAAAGCUGAGAAAAGGCAACGGGACAUCCACUCACUCAAGGGGAGAUGGAAAAAUGCGGCGGAGGGGGGAAAAGGCUGAAGGGGGCAGGCGUGGUUUCUUCACGGUUCUUUUUGCUACCCCGUCUCCCCGCCGCGCCCCGCCCCGCCCCCACACCCAAGGAAAAUGAUCUAACAGUGGAGUCAGGAGACUGGCAAGUCCACACUUGGUGCCUAACGUGCCACCUGACGCUGGGGUCACCACAAACUCCUGUCGGUGUCUGAGUACCUGGGGUGGGCAUGAGAUGGGAUAGGCUGAUAGGGUCAGGAUGCUCAGGGGAAGGAGGGGAAUCUAUCAAGGGGAUCGGAACACAAAACCUCACUUCCAGGUGGGGAAUGGACACCAGAUGGCGGAAGAGGCUGCAGAGGUGCUGCCAGAGACAAGGCUAGGGUCCACCCCUCUGGCUGCUACCUUUGAAAAGGCUAUGGCUUCUUCCUUAGAAAAGGGGCAUCACAUAGUCCUCUACCUACUCCCUCAUCCUGACUGGGGAAACUGAGAAGAAACAAGCUCAACUCAUCUCAGGGCGUCAAGGAGAGCAGAGUGGAGAGGUGAAGAGGCCAAAAGCUGGAAAAAGGUGAGUGGAGCUGGGGCUGGCAUGCACACUUGGAACCAGGAAAAAAACAAACCACACAGAGGAACAGCUGUUUUUCUAGAGGGUUUUUCUCAGGGGCUUCUCUUAGUGCUGUAGCUGCUGCAGGCUGCGCAGGGCCUCCGCACAUGCGCGGAUAAGGCCACACAGCUGGAUGCUAGUCUCCAGGGAGGUGCUAGAGCCCAGUUCAGCAGAGGCCCAGGUCAGCUUCUGCAAGAGGGCUGUCUGUGUGCAGGCCAUGACAUCUGUAUUUGGAGGCACAGCAGGAGCAGGUGGCCCCUGGGCUGCCUUGAGUCCUGCUGCAGCUCCCUCACAGUGCUCCGGACGAGGUACUGGGGGCUGGGGCGCAGGUCGAGAGCCCAGGGGGAGCUCUGAGGCUGAGGCCAGCUGGUGCUCCCGAGCUUGGGAGAGGGCAGCCUGGGCAUUCAGAGCUAAAAAGAGGAGAAAGUGGGUGGAAUGGUCAGGAUGCCUGGCCCACCUCAGCCCUGAGCCAUCUCCUUUUCUGCUCUGCUCUUUCUGUGCUUGAGGUGUUUUCCCUGUCCCUCUAUAAGGCAACUCAUCCACUUUCUACUUUGUAUCACAUUUAUGCCCUAGCUUCAAUUCUCCAUCAGUACUGGGCCUGGUUGAGCUCAGACUCUCGCGCAGUGGCUGGCACACAGGAGGUGCUUGGUGCUCUUAUUGAGUUAAGGGUCCUCUUUAGAGCCUAAAGGAGAAAUAAUUUUACUUCUACCCCACCCAGAGACUCCACUGUCACCUCUCAGC